AUGCCCAGGAAACCAAGGCCAGCGUCAGCGAGGAGCAAGAUCUCUCUCGUCUCGAAUUCCACCCCGGUUCUUCUCUCUCAAGUCUCAACAGCACGCCGCCUUUCACCAGACAAAGAACAAAGUUCCAUCCGAGGGAUGUCGAGACCGGUCCCGAGGAACGACGUGGAGAUCGAAGGAAGAUUCGUGCUGCUGGAGCUCGGACCCCAUGAGCAAACCAAGAGAUCCAGGAAAGAGUUCUCUGUCGGGAAACGGAGAUGGCAACUGUCUGCGGUCCGAGUCGACGAGCAUACUUCGGUGACGCUUUCGACAUCUUCACUGUUUUGGGACAAAUGCUUGGCUUCCGUUACCCUAAAACUGGUGCUCUUUCCUGAAAAUCAACCGGUGCUAAUUCAUAAUCGUCAAGAAGUUGACCUACCUCUCAAUGGUCCUCAUACAUGGACAGUGACAGAUGGAUGUAAAUCUACAAGAUGCUUGGUUGAGAUCGAGUUUCGCAACAUUACUGAGUAUGGCAAAACAGAAUCCUUUUUGCGCUCUACACAAAUGAGGACGGCGUCAGUGGAGCAAGCCCAGUCUGGCGUCGCGCGCAUGCUGCGAGAAGGCAUCCUCACCGACAUCACCGUCAACACGGCCGGCGGCAGCAUGAGGGCCCACCGCGCCGUCCUGGCCGCGCGGUCGCCGGUGUUCCUGAGCAUGUUCUCGCACAACCUCAGGGAGAAGGAGCUCUCCACGGUGGACAUCUCCGACAUGUCCAUGGACGCGUGCAAGGCCCUGGUCCGCUACCUCUACGGCGACGCCAGGUCCGAGUGGGAGCUGCUGGAGCACCGGAGCGAGCUCGUCGCCGCCGGCGACAAGUACGGCAUCGCCAACCUGAAGAAGGCCUGCGAGGAGAGCCUGAGGGAGGACGUGGGCGUGGAGAACGUGCUGGACAGGCUGCAGAUGGCGCACACCUACAGCCUGCCGGCGCUCAAGCGGACGUGCGUCAGGCUGCUCGUGGACUUCGGGAAGAUGUACGAGAUCCCCGAGGACUUCGAGGCGUUCAUGGCGGCGGCAGACCAGGACCUUGCUGACGAGAUCCGCUCGACCGCAAUUCUCAGAGGGAGAAAGCUCGCGGCCAAGGAGAAGAAACCUGCAGCUAAAAAGACUCGGCGCCCCAGUGUGAGGAAGUCUCCGCCUAGCAAGGCUUCAGGCAGCAGCAUUCCGGCUAGGAGGUCCAAAGUCCCGACGUCCACGCCUAAGCUGGAUGCGAGCAACACCGCGGGAGGUAAACGGGGUCGCCGGCGGAAGUCCACGCCAAGCCAGGAUUCCGAUGGCGGCGCUCCGGAUAAACGAGCCCGGCGGCUCAAUGUCCGGCUUGCAGGCGACGAGUGGGCCAAGUGA
rnacentral:rRNA from 1 species